CUCUGAGUUUGGAAGGGCACAUUUUUUGCGGAAGUAGUGACCAAGGACCAGAAAUUGUGGCUGGACACCAUCUUUGAGCAUCUGGACCUGUUGUCAUGGAGAUCAGGGUAACAGACAAACAUCAGACCAUAUGGUACCACAGCUGACAGCUAAGAUUCAUCAACAAAGGAGAAGCCUAGGAGACCACCUUC